CCCCACUGCUAUCGGGAUGGGACUAAGACAUGCUAGUCGAGCGUCUCCAAGCUAUGGAAGAGACGCGGCACACAGCUCAGUAACACGUGGCUAGCCUGCCCUUGGGACAAGGACAACUCCGGGAAACUGGGGCUAAUCCCCGAUAAGUAAGGAAUCCUGGAAUGGAUCUUUGCUGAAAGGGCGUCUGGACCAUGCUUCUUGACGUCGCCCAAGGAUGGAGCCGCGACCGAUCAGGUAGUUGGCGAGGCAACGGCUCACCAAGCCUAUAACCGGUACGGGCCGUGAGAGCGGGAGCCCGGAGAUGGGCACUGAGACAAGGGCCCAGGCCCUACGGGGCGCAGCAGUUGCGAAAACUCCGCAAUGCGCGAAAGCGUGACGGGGCUACCCCGAGUGCCGCCCGUUGAGGGCGGCUUUUCCACGGUGUAAGGAGCCGUGGGAAUAAGGAGAGGGCAAGACUGGUGUCAGCCGCCGCGGUAAUACCAGCUCUCCGAGUGGUGGGGACGAUUAUUGGGCUUAAAGCGUUCGUAGCCGGCUUAACAAGUCUUCCGUUAAAUCCAACGAUCUAAUCGUUGGGCUGCGGGAGAUACUGUUGGGCUAGGAGGCGGGAGAAGCCGACGGUAUUCUCGGGGUAGGGGUGAAAUCCUGUAAUCCCGGGAGGACCACCAGUGGCGAAGGCGGUCGGCUAGAACGCGCUCGACGGUGAGGGACGAAAGCUGGGGGAGCGAACCGGAUUAGAAACCCGGGUAGUCCCAGCUGUAAACGAUGCGGGCUAGGUGUUGGGGUGGCCACGAGCCACUUCAGUGCCGCAUGGAAGCAAUUAAGCCCGCCGCCUGGGGAGUACGGCCGCAAGGCUGAAACUUAAAGGAAUUGGCGGGGGAGCACCACAAGGCGUGAAGCUUGCGGUUU
rnacentral:rRNA from 1 species